CUCCAGAUGGGAUGCCGUCUUCCUCCCUGACCAGAAUGUUAGCUCACCUUGGCUGCAUAAAGAGCCCCUUGGAUUCUUUGCGGGAGCCCAGAGCAGCGCCCCAGGCACAUCUUCCUUCACGGGGCCUGAUCUCACAGCAUGAGCGGCCCAUGUCUCUGCCACAGAGGAGAUCUUGGGACUGGCUAUCUUGAGGUAGAGCCUUUAUUGUCUCCCUCCCAGGCCCCAGUCUCCAUCUGCUUGGGCCUUUAGUCUUACACCAGCUUGGCCACUAGGCUGAGCUGUGAGCUGAUUUGAAGCUCUCUCUUCAGCAGAGGGUCCCCGGAUCCUGCCUCACCUCUAUCUAU
rnacentral:lncRNA from 1 species